rnacentral:misc_RNA from 1 species
UUGCAAAUGGAGUGGAGAGAAUUAUUUGUGUUAGAAAGGAGAAAGACAUAACUUAAUUACUUAAUCAUGAACAUGUCCAAAAGCAUUUCUCCAUCAACACAUGGGAAACUUUGUUCAUGUCAUCACACAAGUGAGAUUGUGGUAAUUGAAUUGUACUGGACUUGUUACCAGCUUCUUUCUUUCUUUUUCUUUUUAUUGUGUUAUGUGG